ACAUUCAAUUUGGUACAGUACCUCUCGGGUUUGGCUCUGGGUUAGUUAAGAACUUUGCUCAAGGGAGUGUUGGUGAUUCCGCUUUGCCACCAAUUUUAGCGAGUACACUGUGUUCUUGUAAUGCCAAUGGACUCAUGGAGCGUAGGUACAGUUUUGGAGAUGUCUGUAAUGCUUUAGAAAUCAUUGAAGGUGACAAUAUUGGCAAGGGACCUUCUGAUUGUGCAUUUGGUGUGGUUUCUGCUACAGGGUAUGCUUCGACCCUGUCCAGUGAUUGUUAA
rnacentral:lncRNA from 1 species